rnacentral:rRNA from 1 species
UGGGGAAUUUUGGACAAUGGGCGAAAGCCUGAUCCAGCAAUGCCGCGUGUGUGAAGAAGGCCUUCGGGUUGUAAAGCACUUUUGUCCGGAAAGAAAUCCUUGGCUCUAAUACAGUCGGGGGAUGACGGUACCGGAAGAAUAAGCACCGGCUAACUACGCGCCAGCAGCCGCGGUAAUACGUAGGGUGCAAGCGUUAAUCGGAAUUACUGGGCGUAAAGCGUGCGCAGGCGGUUUGCUAAGACCGAUGUGAAAUCCCCGGGCUCAACCUGGGAACUGCAUUGGUGACUGGCAGGCUAGAGUAUGGCAGAGGGGGGUAGAAUUCCACGUGUAGCAGUGAAAUGCGUAGAGAUGUGGAGGAAUACCGAUGGCGAAGGCAGCCCCCUGGGCCAAUACUGACGCUCAUGCACGAAAGCGUGGGGAGCAAACAGGAUUAGAUACCCUGGUAGUCCACGCCCUAAACGAUGUCAACUAGUUGUUGGGGAUUCAUUUCCUUAGUAACGUAGCUAACGCGUGAAGUUGACCGCCUGGGGAGUACGGUCGCAAGAUUAAAACUCAAGGAAUUGACGGGGUCAUAGCUGUUUCCU